rnacentral:lncRNA from 1 species
CAGCGUUCGGACCCGUUGGAUCGUGAAUCCCACGUAAGGUACCUGCCCUCAGAAGAUUUGAACUUUCUACUUGGACACCUAACACCCACAGUCCUCCAGACAGAAGGACAACAGGUACAAAGCCCUAAGGAUUAUAAAGGUAUGCUGCUUACCAUCAUCUUAGUGACCAAGGCAGCGAAGCUGUUUCUGUACCUUGGAACAGUCUUCCCUGACAAGCCAGAGAACAGCGAUAAAGCCACCAGCCUUGGGAUCAGGACCGAAAAGGCAAGAGUGAUGGAGAUUUCUCCUGCGCUAAGCCAAGAGAAGGUUUCAGCACCUCAGACAGCUCCCACCGAAGUAGCCGCGCUCCCAGCUGCUUGCAGAUGUUGAAAAGGAAAGCCUCGGUUUGUCUUGAGGUUGUCAGCAGUUGCAAGACACGUAAUAAAAUGCAAUGUGUUCCUAA